rnacentral:rRNA from 1 species
GAUGAACGCUGGCGGCGUGCCUAAUACAUGCAAGUCGAGCGAACAGAUGAGGAGCUUGCUCCUCUGACGUUAGCGGCGGACGGGUGAGUAACACGUGGAUAACCUACCUAUAAGACUGGGAUAACUUCGGGAAACCGGAGCUAAUACCGGAUAAUAUAUUGAACCGCAUGGUUCAAUAGUGAAAGACGGUUUUGCUGUCACUUAUAGAUGGAUCCGCGCCGCAUUAGCUAGUUGGUAAGGUAACGGCUUACCAAGGCAACGAUGCGUAGCCGACCUGAGAGGGUGAUCGGCCACACUGGAACUGAGACACGGACCAGACUACUACGGGAGGCAGCAGUAGGGAAUCUUCCGCAGUGGGCGAAAGCAUGACGGAGCAACGCCGCGUGAGUGAUGAAGGUCUUCGGAUCGUAAAACUCUGUUAUUAGGGAGGAACAAAUGUGUAAGUAACUAUGCACGUCUUGACGGUACCUAAUCAGAAAGCCACGGCUAACUACGUG